UCGGGCGCGCAAGUAUCGGUUCAAGAACGUCAGUUAGCCCCUACCUGUACGGUACUUUCGCGUACGACCUGAGAAACCGUUUCUCGUAAUUGUGCGGCCAUACCCGGCUUUCCCAGGCCGCGUGUGAAUUUCCUUUCGCUCAUUUUCUACGUUGACACAUCGCUCCCAUCAUCUUCUUUCAAGAAAAACACUCGAAAUCAUCACCAAAUCUUGGAAAGCUCCUUAUGUACAUUCGACUGAUACAUAGUAAUUUAUCAUGGCAGUGCAUGAUUCUGGUCAAGGACAAGAAGCAAAAAAAGAAAAACAUUCGAUACGACCGACCAAUCAAAGUAUCGUGUUCCUAAAAACGCCAAAAACUAAUCGAAAUAUUUGAAAUUGUGUUAAUAAAUUUUUAGAGAUAUUUUAGAGAUAUUUUUAGGGCACAAACGAACGUCACGUACUAGUGAAACGUUCAUUUUCAGUUAGGGAGAAAAAAAAAAGCACCUUUUAUUAUUCUUCAUUAUACAAAUAAUUAUAAUUGAUUAUCCUUGUCUAUUCCUUGAAAAGGAUCGUCCAUGAUCCUACGUUUAUAAAAGUAAAAGUCUUCUUCAACAAGAUCUACGAUAUUGUCACAAAAAGAAAGUAAAAAAGUAAGAAUAGGUCGUAUUUUCUGAUCGACUAAACGCAUUGGUAAUUAUUUCAUCGACGCAAAAUGGCAUAGAUUUCAAAUAUUAUCUUGUCUCUGUUUAUACAAAAAUAUAAUUUCAAUUAACAGUCUGUUCAUUAUAUUAGUCAUCGAGAGAGAGAGAGAGAGAGAGAGAGAGAGAGAGAGAGAGAGAGAGAGAGAGAGAGAGAGAGAGAGAGAGAGAGAGAGAGAGAGAGAGAGAGAGAGAGAGAGAGAGAGAGAGAGAGAGAGAGGCUUGUGCUUAUGUAGUUAAAUUCGUAAUGGUAUAAAUCAUUGCUAUGACAAAUAAUGGAACUCCUCAUUAUCUGGAUUCUGGCUUUGAGAAUGGCUGAAGGGAACCAGGUUGAACCCACGAAAGUCCUAACGCUCGAUUCUCUUCUACUCCCUGUAUUGAACCAAUGAGACGAAUAAUUUGUAGAAUAAAUAUAGAUUUUAUAAAGAGUA